rnacentral:rRNA from 1 species
AUUGAACGCUGGCGGAAUGCUUUACACAUGCAAGUCGAACGGUAGAGGGGGCAACCCCUCGAGAGUGGCGAACGGGUGAGUAAUAUAUCGGAUCGUGCCCAGUCGUGGGGGAUAACGUAGCGAAAGUUACGCUAAUACCGCAUACGAUCUAAGGAUGAAAGCGGGGGAUCGCAAGACCUCGCGCGGUUGGAGCGGCCGAUAUCAGAUUAGGUAGCUGGUGGGGUAAAGGCUCACCAAGCCAACGAUCUGUAGCUGGUCUGAGAGGACGACCAGCCACACUGGAACUGAGACACGGUCCAGACUCCUACGGGAGGCAGCAGUGGGGAAUUUUGGACAAUGGACGCAAGUCUGAUCCAGCCAUUCCGCGUGCAGGAUGAAGGCCCUCGGGUUGUAAACUGCUUUUGUACGGAACGAAAAGGUCUCUCUUAAUACGGGGGGCUCAUGACGGUACCGUAAGAAUAAGCACCGGCUAACUACGUGCCAGCCGCCGCCGUAA